CAGCAGCCGCGGGAAUAUGAAGGGGGCUAGCGUUGCUCGGAAUGACUGGGCGUAAAGGGCGCGUAGGCGGAUGGCACAGUCAGAUGUGAAAUUCCCGGGCUUAACCUGGGGGCUGCAUUUGAUACGUGUUGUCUAGAGUGAGGAAGAGGGUCGUGGAAUUCCCAGUGUAGAGGUGAAAUUCGUAGAUAUUGGGAAGAACACCGGUGGCGAAGGCGGCGACCUGGUCCUUUACUGACGCUGAGGCGCGAAAGCGUGGGGAGCAAACAGGAUUAGAUACCCCCGUAGUCCCUGUCUCUUAUAC
rnacentral:rRNA from 1 species